rnacentral:rRNA from 1 species
GAGUUUGAUCGUGGCUCAGAUUGAACGCUGGCGGCAGGCCUAACACAUGCAAGUCGAGCGGAUGACGGGAGCUUGCUCCUUGAUUCAGCGGCGGACGGGUGAGUAAUGCCUAGGAAUCUGCCUGGUAGUGGGGGACAACGUUUCGAAAGGAACGCUAAUACCGCAUACGUCCUACGGGAGAAAGCAGGGGACCUUCGGGCCUUGCGCUAUCAGAUGAGCCUAGGUCGGAUUAGCUAGUUGGUGGGGUAAUGGCUCACCAAGGCGACGAUCCGUAACUGGUCUGAGAGGAUGAUCAGUCACACUGGAACUGAGACACGGUCCAGACUCCUACGGGAGGCAGCAGUGGGGAAUAUUGGACAAUGGGCGAAAGCCUGAUCCAGCCAUGCCGCGUGCGUGAAGAAGGUCUUCGGAUUGUAAAGCACUUUAAGUUGGGAGGAAGGGCAGUAAGUUAAUACCUUGCUGUUUUGACGUUACCGACAGAAUAAGCACCGGCUAACUCUGUGCCAGCAGCC